AGGGAGCAGGCGGCGACGCUCUGAAAGGAUCAAGAUGCCCAAGAGGGGGGGUGAAUUGGGCUUCUCUAAAAAUUUAAGCAACCUAUAAGCUCCAAUUCAACCCCUUGUGCCUAGUGUGACUUAGAGAGCUACCGGAUAAAAAAAUUUGCAACCUAGUUCCAAUCCUAUUCUAGCAUGGCAAUUCUAAGAAUGUAAAAGCACAAAGUAGAUGCUAGAAAGUAAAGGAGUAGUGGAAGAAAGUGCUCGGCGAUGUUUU
rnacentral:lncRNA from 1 species